GGUUAAGCGACUAAGCGUACACGGUGGAUGCCCUGGCAGUCAGAGGCGAUGAAGGACGUGCUAAUCUGCGAAAAGCGUCGGUAAGGUGAUAUGAACCGUUAUAACCGGCGAUGUCCGAAUGGGGAAACCCAGUGCAAUUCGUUGCACUAUCGUUAACUGAAUACAUAGGUUAACGAGGCGAACCGGGGGAACUGAAACAUCUAAGUACCCCGAGGAAAAGAAAUCAACCGAGAUUCCCCCAGUAGCGGCGAGCGAACGG
rnacentral:rRNA from 1 species